AAGCAAGCGUAUCAUUCAGCACGAUUUGCGGGAAAGCAGUCAUCCAUAUUGGUUGAAGCAGUUGUUCUUCACUUUUAUUCUGUUUUCUAUAAAGUCACAGCACUGGGCAUCAUCUGCAGUCAAGACUGGGGUCAUAAGCUGUCAUAGGAGGCCAAUCCACAAUUGGACGUACAGCUUAUUCGGUAGCCAGUGGUCGGAACAGUUGGCGUGUGCAGUGGAGCAAUCCAGGUGGCAUUCUGAGCGAUUAUUUGUUGGGAGCGACGAGCGAUCUUUAGGAGCGAGUAGAACAUCAGUGCCUGCAAAGUGACUGGAGCGUGUGACAUUGACAUUUCCGUGUGAUUGAGAAAAACACAUUUGUAUAUUGUGAGUACCAA